GGAUUGUGGCUCAGUGGUAGAGUGCUUGCCUAGCAUGGGUGGGUCCUGGGUUCGAUUCUCAGCACCA
rnacentral:tRNA from 1 species